ensembl:misc_RNA
CUGACCAUGUUGAAGACUGAAAUGCUCUGUUUAUCCACAGAACAGAUACAGCCUGGGAAACGCCAGUGUAAUGUGCCAAUGUGCCUAAACCUUGACCUGGAGGGACAGCCAUUGAGAAUGAGAGGUUGGUUGAGUCACAGAAUCUCAGACUGUAGUGCUGAA